UACGAAGGGGGCUAGCGUUGUUCGGAUUAACUGGGCGUAAAGGGUGCGUAGGCGGGGUUUUAAGUCAGGGGGUGAAAUGCCGAGGCUCAACUUCGGAACUGCCUUUGAUACUGGAACUCUUGAGUCUGGGAGAGGUGAGUGGAACUGCGAGUGUAGAGGUGAAAUUCGUAGAUAUUCGCAAGAACACCAGUGGCGAAGGCGGCUCACUGGCCCGGAACUGACGCUGAGGCACGAAAGCGUGGGGGAGCAAACAGG
rnacentral:rRNA from 1 species